GACGAACGCUGGCGGCGUGCCUAAUACAUGCAAGUAGGACGCAGUUGCGAACGGGUGAGUAACGCGUAGGUAACUACCUAUUAGAGGGGGCUAACUAUUGGAACCGAUAGCUAAUACCGCAUACUUGUAGAUGGACCUGCUUUGUAUUAGCUAGUAGGUAGGGUAAUGGGCUACCUAGGCAACGAUACAUAGGCGAGCGGAGAGGGAGAUCGGCCCAAAUGGGAAUGAGAAACGGCCCAGACCUCUAAGGGGGGGAGCAGUAGGGAAUAUUCGGCAAUGGGGGGAAACCUGAACGAGCAACGCCGCGGGAGUUAAGAAGGUUGUCGGAUCGGAAAGCUCUGUUGUUAAGGAAGCGGUACUUAACCAGAAAGGGACGGCUAACUACGUGCCAGCAGCCGCGGUAAUAC
rnacentral:rRNA from 1 species